UCACACUUGCUUUCCACACCGCACACAAACUCACAAACGCCUGCGCUAGCUACCGUUGCCGGCAGCUGCAACACUUGACCUGAAUGAAAGCUACUGCUGCUGUGGAUGGGCGGGGGCAAAGGCGAGGUGAGCCUAGACGUUGCUCCGUACCCCCUUGCGCUCUCCUUCUCCGUUCACCUUAAACUGCGGAGGAGGAAGAGCUGAAUAGCCCGCCGACGAGAUGGUCCUAGGCGUUGCUCCGGAAGGAGCCGUACCCCCUGGCGCUGGCGCGGAGGACGAUCUGGUGGUAUAGCGCUGCGAUCGCCGCUCCGAUGAACGGGCCCACCCAGAAGAUCCACUGCAUGCAGCAACAGCAAAUUAGC
rnacentral:lncRNA from 1 species